CUGGGGAUGUGGCUCAGUGUCAGAGUGCUUGCCUGGUAUAUGCAAGACCCUGAGUUCAACCCUCAGUUCUUGGG
rnacentral:tRNA from 1 species